rnacentral:rRNA from 1 species
CCUACGGGAGGCAGCAGUGAGGAAUAUUGGUCAAUGGACGAGAGUCUGAACCAGCCAAGUAGCGUGAAGGAUGACUGCCCUAUGGGUUGUAAACUUCUUUUACAUGGGAAUAAAUUGUUCUACGUGUGGGAUUUUGUAUGUACCAUAUGAAUAAGGAUCGGCUAACUCCGUGCCAGCAGCCGCGGUAAUACGGAGGAUCCGAGCGUUAACCGGAUUUAGUGGGUGUAAAGGGAGCGUAGGUGGAUUGUUAAGUCAGUCGUGAAAGUUUGUGGCUCAACCGUAGAAUUGCAGUUGAAACUGGCAGUCUUGAGUACAGGAGAGGUGAGCUGAAUGCGUGGUGUAGCGGUGAAAUGCUGAGAUAUCACGAAGAACUCCGAUUGCGAAGGCAGCUCACUGGACUGCAACUGACACUGAGGCUCGAAAGUGUGGGUAUCAAACAGGAUUAGAUACCCUGGUAGUC